GGGCCGUGUAAGGUUGUAAGAGUCAGUCACGAGGGGUGGAGUGUUGCAGGAGGUCAUGGAGAGGACGACUGCCAGUUAACCGGCAAACUAGACUCGGGCAUCAGAGGCUCCUCACCAUCUCCACCUGGACCGAAUGUGUGACCGAACCCACUUAAGGCCUCUGGAUAAGCUUUUAAGAUUCUGGCGGGCAUGGGAGGAGAGCCACUCGUCUUGCAGCCGCCGAAGACCAGUCUCAUAGUUCUAGACUGGAGGAGAAGAUGCUGAGAAGUAGCAUGAUGUAUGGAAUCACAAGAAUCAGAUGUGAAGUCAGUUGAAUUUGGAUAACAAAGAAGUUGACAAUGCGCAAGCCAGCACCACGGAGUUUGUAUAGGGGAUUGCAAGAAGAUACUCAAAUUGGUUGGAGUAUUUUAUGAUUUUCUCUAUAGUAUGAAGAAACAUCUACUUUGGGAUAAGAGAAGAAAAGGGACAAUUAUGUUUGCACACUUAAAUUUCUCUCAAUAGAGGACUAAAAAAAGGCAAUACUACCCCUCCAAAAAUAUAACAGUUUUCAAAUAACAAGUUGCUUAAAUUAACUUAGAGAGCAGUCUUACAGAAGAACGCGUUGACUUUUAAAAGCAAAUUUCCUUGAGUACUUUACUGACUUUUUCUCUUCUCUAUGGUGUCACAAGAUAGAAAAAGCGACAUAUGCUUUCUUCCAACAGUCUCUACAUUGUAAUUUAAAAAUGCUGAUUAAAGGAUGAAGGGUAACAUCAUUAAGUUUUGGAAGGAAAAAUCAGGAAAUCUAACCAUGUAACUUCAAAUUAAUUACUUAUGAAGGUUCUUCUCAACUGUGCUGAUUUCACCUGGAAACUGACAGCUUGGUCUUCCUCCUGUUGGCUGCUGUCAUUCCUUUCAGCUCUCAGGGCUCCUUUCUGCUGGUUCCGCAGGAAUUCCACUGAAUUGAGUCUGACUCCUCAUUGCCUCCUCCCUUCUCCAGCCAGCCUCACCAGGCGGCAGUUGACUUGGCCAUGUCUACCUGGGAGAAGAAUUACAAAACUGCCUGACUUUUUGCUGUCUUUCCUCAUCCCACUUCCUUAAUAUUUAAAUACCUCGUUUGGAUCCUAGAGCUUCUGAUGUACGGAUCAAAACAUUGCAGUUAAGGACAACAGAGAUAUCAAAUGGACUUAUGUCAAUGAAGGAGUUAAAAGAGAGAUUUUUCCAGGCAUCUGGCCUCAAAUUAGCACUCUGGAAUGUGGGGAAUGUUUUAAACAGAAAAAAGCUGAGUUGUAUAUUAUAAUACAUGGUAACUUUUUAAAUGUUAGGGUUUCACAUCACAGAACAUACACACUGGAAAUUAAAUGAACCAUUGUUUUGAAAUUUCUGCUGUUCAGAUACUUACCUAAGCACUAGUUACAGCUGAUUUAAAGACAGGGGCGGGGACCUCAAAAGACUUGUGUGUGAUUUGAGGUUCUGCUUUCGUUACUUUUUAUAAAAGCUUGGGCGAGCCAAAUUCCCAAAUGUUGGUCUGAAGUUUUAGAGCUUAUUUUACCAUUACCUUUGGAUCAGGCGGGUAUUUAAUUUCUUGGAAGGUAGGAGAAAAUGAAAUGCUAGAGGAAAUAGAGUUACAAAUUGAUUUUCAAUCUGCUCUUUGUUGAGAAAUUUUUUUUUUUUUUUUUUUUUUGGUACAUCAGGUAGUUUUCAAAGUAUGAGAUUUCCACCAUGGAAAAUUAGACUGUAAGCUCUUUGAGAAUGCGAAAUAAAUCUUAGGUCUUUCUUGUAAACCUCGCCUAAUUGUUUGGUUUGUUUGAGGAGGUAGGUGGAGAGCUUUGAAGAGCGGCAGAGAGGGUCUUGUGAUAGUGCAGCUGGCCAGUCAGUGGGCAGGCUGCUAGUGCCCCAGAGGCACCCCAAGACAUGUCUUGUUCCAAAAUGCCUCCCCACACUUUGCCAUUUCUCUCAUCCAGCCACUUCCUUCCCCACUCCAGCAAUUGCUCUUUUAUGAAGGUGAAGGUCCCCUCACUGGAGUUACUUCCUUAGUUCUUUCCAGAAGGCCAUCUGCAGCCAAGUCCUGGCCAAAGGGGACCAGCGGGGAUCCAAUUUUUCAUUCCUCCCUUCUUCCCCUUUCUUCCUUCCCGCUCUUCUCUUCCUUUUUCUAUUCUGCCUCCUUCAGAAAGGAUUUAUGAUAGUGAUUCUUUCAUUCAUUCAUUGACCUGGAAUCUUUUGAUAAGAUUAGGUGAAUUAGGGAGGGAAAGGAAAAAUGCAGGGUAAUGACUCUUGCUUUUUUCCUCCCUCCAACACAUGAAUAGAUACCUUCCUUCACGUGGUCAGCUCUGCUAGGUUUUCUUAACAUCUUCCAAAAGAUCCAGAGUUAUCAUGGGUUUCCCUACGAAAGAUGCCAGCAAACCAGGGAACAAUGUGGAGGCAAUUGGCUUCUUUCCCCCACUCCCAUUUUCUGGGGAAGGAAGGCUUGAUAAUAAAGAAGCAAGCAUCAAGAAUAGAAUUAUAGGCAGCAUCGUUGAGUGGGAAACUUCAUCCCCUUCGAAAUAAAAUGUGUGUUGCAUGAAUGGCUAAAAAAUCUUUGCCUAGUGUUUCCCUUGCAUUGGGGCAGUAGCCUCAGUCACCCCAGGAUGGUGCAGCAGACAAAAGGAAGGUGGUUUGGGAGAGCUAAGAAGCCACUGCUGGAGCCAAAAGAGAUGCAGGAUUAGGUGAUGUGAAACUAAAAAGAGAAUUUAACAAAAUAUAAAUGAAUACGUCUUAUUGCAAUGGAGUCCUUCAGGCAUCUGCCUAUAUCCUCAGGCAGAAACUCUAAAAAUAAACGAGAAUAUCUCUUAGGCCAUUUUGAAAGCUCAUCUAAAAUAGCCAUGUUUAUUUAAUCACACUUUCAUUUUAGGAAGAUAAUAGAACCUGCCAGAACAGUUGAGAAGAGAACAUAAAUAGUGAGAUCAAAUUUAUUGUCUUAUACAAGAUUGAUAUCUUUCUAAUCUAUCUAUCUAAUCUAUCUUAUCUUGUCUAUCUUUAUCUAUCUAUCUAUCAUCACCAUCAUCAUCUAUUGAUUUAAUUUCUACUGUAAAGUUAGAAUACUUGAAGAUUUCAAAGUUGUCCUGUAACCUCAUAUAACCGGCAUGAUGUUUCUCCAGAAUGGACUAUAUUAUGCUAUAUUCUAUGUUUUGGGUUUUCAGGCACCCUAGAACGUUUUCCCCUCCUCCCUUAAAAUGCCAGCAGUCCCUCUGACCACUGUUCUAAUGCAUAAACUCCAUUAUUCUUGCUGCAGUAUGAAUAAAUUUAAGAACCUUCCAGAGAGCAAGAUUGAAAAUGAGAAGGGGAGAAAGUUGCCUGCAGAAGAUGCUAGGUUUCAACGGGGAAAGGAGUUAAAAAAUGAUCUAAGAACCUUGCUUUGGAAAUGAGCCAACACUUGCCUCAUCAGGAGUUAAAGCAAAAGGAAGAAUCCGGAAAUAUCAGUUAAAUAUACUUAGUGGGUGUAUGUGUGUGUUUGGGGCGGUGCAGUGGGGGGAUAUAUUCUUUUCUUUUUAACAGCAAAAUGUUUAUUUAUUUUAUUUUUUAUCAAGGUGUAACUGACAUACAACAUUAUGUUAGUUUCAUAUGUACAAUGUAAUGAUUUGAUAUUUGUAUAGACAAGUUCUUAAUUGAGCUUAAGGGAAUCAAAUGAAGAAGGGUAUAGGGCCACUGUGCUUAGUUUCUGCAAAACUUGUUUAGUAUCUCUAACAGUUAGUAGCAGAAAAGGGCUGAGACUACAUGCAAAAUGUUUCUAAACCACAGCUACUAUCAUGUAACAUACCUGUUCUCCAACCAAAUAGGAAUAUUUGGAAUGUCAGUAUGUAGUGUUCUACUUCCCAUUAUCCAACUAUCUAAAUGCUAUCAUUCUCCUGAGUGAGGCCUUCUCUGAUUCCUCAAAUCAGAAUCUUUUGUGCUCUCAUUUGAUUUCACACGAUAUGUUGCUUGCAUUCCUAUUGUAGCAUUUUAUGAGGUAUAAUUUACAUAUAAUAAAAUUCACUCUUUUUAAAUGUACAGUUUGAUGCAUUUUGAUAAAAUAUAUAUGUUCAAGUAACUAUCACUACAGUCAAGAUUCAGAACGUUUCCAUCAUCCCCAAAAGUCCCCUCAAGCCCCUUUAUAGUCAAUCACUUACCUGUCCCCAAGACCCCAGCAACCAAUAAUCUUUUUUUCUGUCCCUACAGUUUUUUUUUUCUUCAAGUAUAUUAGGAAGGAAGUGUUUUUUAUCGUGAAACAAAGCAUGGAUUGAUCAUGCAUUGCAUAGAUGCUGUAGGGUGCAGGAAUUCAGAGAAUGGAUCUGUCCCUAUAGUUUUGCCUUUUACAGAAUAUCUUAUAAGUAGAGCAUACAUUAUGUAGUCUUUAGUCAUUUAUGUCUGGCUUCUUGUCCUUAGCGUAAUGCUUUUAAGUCAUCCAUGUCAUUGCAUGUGUCCAUAGUUCAACUCUUCUUAUUGUUGUGUACUAUUCCAUUUUGUGGAAUUUAUACUACGAUUUGUUUAGUGUUAUUUGACUUCAUUAAAAAUAACCUCGUUACCUGUAAACAUAUGUUUAACACUUACUGUAUGCUAGGCAUGUCAUGGGUGCUGGAGGGUAAAAAGGUUAAUUAGGACAUAGUUCUGAUACUUCUGGAAUUUUCAUGUAAACAGAUGUUAAUAUAUUAUGCUGGGCCAAGAGGAAAGUAGGUUCUGGAAGUACAAAGGAGGGACGUUUAGAAUAAGUUGAGCCUUUCAAGUGAAUAAGAAUUAGUAUAGAAAACAAAGGUGGAUAAAGGCGGAACAAAGAGAGGAAAGAGCAUGAACAAAGGCAAGAAGACAGCUAAUAGCAUAGGAAAUUUUAAGAACAGUAGUAGAGCAUUACAGAUAAAGCCUGGGGUGGCAAAGGAGGCUAACGAAAUAUGUGGUAGCCAGAUGAUGAGGGACUUUAAAUACUAUGGAAAGAGCUUGUUGUUUACUGCGUCCACUUAUGGUCUUUGAUUUGUUUUAAGAUGGGAGGGACAGUCCAAUUUGCAUUUUAGACUGGAUUCAGUGCAGCAAAUGGAGUCUGAAAGAACAGUUUAGGUGAUCUUGCCUUAUUGCAGGCCAGUGAUAAAGAGAGCCUGAAUCAGCCCAGGAAUUUUAAGGGUAGAGAAGUAAGAAGGAAUUUGAAAAAUAUUUAGAAAGGAAAAGAAGAACUUGGUGAUUGAGUGGUUGUAGAUGGCAUGGAAUAGAGAGACAGAGAGUACGACUCCCGUGUUUCCAGACAGGAUGUUUGGAUGGAUGUUUGUGUAGGUUUAAAGAAAGGAGGUAAAGAUUUUAGUUUUGGACAUAGUGGGUUUGAGGUGCCUAUUGUGCACUCAAAAGGAAAUUUUUAGUAGACGUUUGUGUUUAUGAAUCUUGACUUUGUGUGUGAAGAUAAGGCUGGGUUUAGGAAUAAUUAGCAUAUAAAUGAAACGUGGAAAUGGAAGAGAUUAAAGUUAUUGGAGAGUUGGGACAAAAAUCCUACUUAGUCUCCUCCACGGCUCACAAUACAGAGCCUGAAAUGCAGAAAAUGCUCCAGAAAUAUUUGUUGGGUGGAUGAAUGAAUAGAUGCUUAUUUGCCAAUUAAAUUCUGUCUUAUGCUUGGCACACUGGAAUUCAUGGGAGUUAGACAUAGAAAUAAGGCGUGGAAUUGCAUGACCUACUUAAAGGCAGCACGAUAAUAUUCUCUCUCUGCGGUAGAUAGAGCUUUGUGCAGUGAACAAACAAUAACCUUUUAGUUAUUUUCUAUUUCUGGGCUGCUGAGGGAGAGAGAGAAGGCCACCUGGAGCCUGGGUUGCAUGGAUUGCCAAACCACCGCGAUGUCUACCAUUUAGUUCUACCCUGAUUAGGCCAGAACUGGGUAAACGAAUGUUUCAUCUUGCAUCUUUCCACAUAAACAGAUGUCCUUACCCACAGACAAAUUUAGAAAACUGUGUGGUUUUAAAGAAAAGGGAGGCGAUUUUUCCAGUUAUGAAAAAGGUGGUUGCUUAUCAUCAUUCUUAAAGACAUGUUUAUCUGUCAAAACCCAGGUAACGAAUCUCAGUUCUUCCAAGAAACUUUCCCAGAUCUUACCAGUUGGAAUUAACUUCUACCUACCAUUUACUCUUAUAUUAUUUGUUUUGGAAGCAGCGUGACACGUUGGAAAGAGCACAGACUUUGGAGUUGGGUAGUCGUAGGUCCUAUCUUGGUGCUGGUAGUUACUAAACUUGUCUGGAUCUCACUCUCUCUAUCUGUAAAUUACCUGUAAUGAUGCAUGUUGGGGUUGGGGGUGAACUGUUAAAUAACCUUGUUUCCCAUUUCUAAGUUCCGAAUCUUGAGACAUAGAUACAGGAGAUAGAGUGACAAAAAAUGCUAAUUAUGCCUCCUAAUUCAUCAAUCAGUUAAGUCUUUCCUUCUUCUACAGGCAGUUGAAGAGAAGCUGCUAGCGUGAGUCAAUGCUUUUCUAUCCUUUGGAGUGGAAAUGAGGAAUAAAUUUUCCCUCAUAAGAAUAUCUGCUUUUAAGUUUAUGUAUCCAAAGUCCUAGAAAUAACAUCCGAGGGGGUGGGUAGUACAGGAGAGGCAGGGCAGAGCGAGUCUCUGUCUUUCUCUCCUUAGUGCUCCUUAUACACAGAGUUUAGAGUGUUGAUACAGUAGGUUAUCAUCUGAUGGUUGUUGAAUGGAGUUAGAAACAAAUGUCACUUGUUUCAUUAAUGUUAGAUGUUGAAUUUCUCUCCAGAAUUAUUAUACUUCCUUUACCAUAUGAUCUAUAGACAUCGUAGGUAUAUACAAUUUGUUUUUUUUUACUUAAAAAUAACUUUUGAUUUGAAGUAUAAAUAUAUAUACAGAAAAGUACCAAAACCAUAAAUAUACAGAUUGAUGAAUUACAACAAGUUGAAUACACCUGUGUAACCAUCACCCAGAUGCAGCAAUAGAACAUUACUGGCAUCCUAGAACACUCUCUUGGGUCCCCUUCUAGAGAUAAUCAUUAACUUUAUUGCUAAUCAUUAUAGUAAUUUUAUCUGAUUUUGAAGUGUGUAUGUGUGUAGCCUUAUUCUGCUCAGGUUAUGCAUAUGAAACGCAUCUAUGUUGUUUUGUAUGGAAGUAAUGUGUGUAUUUUUAUUUGCUGUAUCAUUUCCAUUGUAUGAACACAUCCCCAUUUAUUUAUCCAUUCUACUAUUGAUGGACAUUUGGAUUAUUUCCAGUAUUUUGCUAUUAUGAAUAAAGUUGAAAUGAAGAUUCUUGUACAUUUUUUGUAUAUUUAUCUUGGGUUCAUACCUAGGAGUGAGAUUGCUGAGGACAUAGGGUAAGUGUAUAUUUAGCUUUUGUAGAUAAUAUAAAAACAAUUUUCCAAAGUGGUUGUACCAAUUUGCAUUCCCACCAGCAUUGUACAAGAAUUCAAUUGUUCUACAUCAUCAUCAACACUGGGUAAUCCCAGUCUUCUGAAUAUUAGCUACUCUGCUGAGUAUGUGGUGAUAUCUCACUGUGGCUUAAGUUUACAUUUACCUGAUGAUUAAUAAAGAAGCAAAUGUUCAUCACAGGUUUUUAUUUUUGUCAUUUGGCAUCCUAUCAUGUGAAGUUCUUGUCAUCUGCUUUUAUGAGGCCAUCUGUAUUUUUAUUACUGAUUUGUAGUCUAAUUUAGAACCCGUUUUCUUUAUGAUUAAUGCUUUUUUGUGUCCUAAUUUAAUAAAUUGUUGCCUACCUCAUGUUAUCAAGAUACAUUCCUAUGUUAUCUCCUGGAAGCUUUCUCUCCCCCUUUUAUGUAUACAUCUACAUUCCACCUAGAAUUGAUUCUUUUUUUCUUUUUUUGAUGAGAAAGAUUAGCCUUAAGCUAACAUCUGUGCCUGUCCUCCUCUAUUUUUUGAAUGAGGGAUGCCUCCACAGCAUGGCUGAUGAGUGGAGUAGGUCUGCACCCGGGAUCUGAACCUGUGAACCCAGGCCACUGAAGUGGAGCAAAUGGAACUUUAACCACUUGGCUAUGGAGUUGGCCCCUAGAAUUGAUUCUUUUGUGUAUGGAAUGAGAUAGGGUCCAGGUUCAUUUUUUUAUACGAAUAUCUAAUUUGUCAGGAGUUUAUUAAAAAACAUCUUUAAAAUUUCCCCUUUGUUCAUUAGUCCCUCCUUUGUCAUAAAUCAAGGGUCUGUAUAUAAGUUUGUUUCUGGACUUUCUAUUCUAUUCCUUUGUUUUGUUGGUCUAUUCCUGAUUAAUACCACAAUAUCUUAACAACUAUAGAUUUGUGAUGUCUUGAUAUCUUGUGGCAUAAGUCUUCCAGCUUUUUUCAAGAUUGUCUUCACUAUUCUUGGCCCACAGCAUUUCCAUGUAAAUUUUAGAAUUAUCUUGUCAAUUUCUGCAAAAAAAGUAUGUUGGGAUAUUUUUAAUAAACUUUCACUUUUGGAAUAAUUUUAGGCUUCCAGAGAAGUUGCAUAGAUAAUACAGUGAGUUCUUGUAUACUCUUCAUCCAGUUUCUCACACUGUUAACAUCUUAUAUUACUAUGGUACAUUUAUCAAAACUAAGAAACUGACAUUGAUAUAUUACUGUUAACUAAACCCCAGACUUUAUUUGGAUUUCACCAGUUUUUCCAUUAAUGUCCUCUUUCUUUCCAGGAUUCAAUCCAGCAUACCACAUUGCAUUUAGCUGUCAUGUCUUUCUAGUCUUUUCUGGUAAUGACAGUUUCUCAGCAUUUUUUAUUUUUCAUCGUCGUUUUGACAGUCUUAAGGAGUACUAGCCAGUUAUUCUAUAGAAUGUCCCUAAUCUGAGGUUUUCUGUUGUUUUUCUUAUUAUUAUUCUGGGGUUAUGGGUUUUUGGAAAGAAUACAACAGAGUUGAAAUGCCCUUCUCAUCACAUUAUAUCAGACGAUACAUGAUAUCCACAUGAAAUCGCUGGUGAUGUCAACCUUCAUCGCUUGGUUAAAGUAGUGUUUGCCAGGUUUCUCCAUUUCAAAGUUAUGUUUUUCCUUUUCUUAUUGUAUUCUUUGGAAGUGAGUCAUUGGUGGUGGGGGUUAUUCAGCUCCAUCUCCUGCAACAUGCACUAUCUUCACCUAUUAUUUGGAAUUCUUCUGUAAGAAAGAUUUGUCUCAUUUAUUUAUUUAAUCAUUUAUUUAUAUCCGUAUGGACUCGUGUAUAUUUACUUUAUAGUUUGGGUUAUAAUCUAUAUUACUUUAUUUGUUUUGUUGCUCAAAUUGUCCCAGCUUUGGCCAUGGGGAAAGUUUUCAGCGUGGUUCCUGUGUCCUUUUGACAUAUGUCUGUAUUUUUGUUUUUAGAGUACUUCUUUACUUUUCGGCACUAAAGGGUACUCUAGGCCCAUCUUCUAUAGUCCCUGCCUCAAUCCUAGAAUCUAAUUUCUUUAAUGAACCCUUGUUAUUUUUAUUGGAGAAUGGUACUUAGAAACCAAGAUCUGGAUAUUGGAUGUGCCUGUUGUUGCCAUUGCUUCUAGGGCCUGUCAGUGGACAGCACACAGUGCUAAUAUAUAUAAUAUACUUAUAUAUGUAUACACACACAAAUAUAUAUAUAUAUAUAUAUGUACUUUUACCAUUUCCCAGAUAAUUAAAGGACUUCAGAACACUUU
rnacentral:lncRNA from 1 species